AAGACCGGAGGAAGGUGGGGAUGACGUCAAGUCAUCAUGGCCCUUACGGCCUGGGCUACACACGUGCUACAAUGGUCGGUACAAAGGGUUGCCAAGCCGCGAGGUGGAGCUAAUCCCAUAAAACCGAUCGUAGUCCGGAUCGCAGUCUGCAACUCGACUGCGUGAAGUCGGAAUCGCUAGUAAUCGUGAAUCAGAAUGUCACGGUGAAUACGUUCCCGGGCCUU
rnacentral:rRNA from 1 species